GAGCGAACCUGGAUUAGCCCUUAAGCACUCGGUGAAGUAGGUGAACAAGCUGGAAAGCUUGGCGAUACAGGGUGAUAGCCCCGUAACCGACGCUUCAUCGAGCGUGAAAUCGAGUAGGGCGGGACACGUGAUAUCCUGUCUGAAUAUGGGGGGACCAUCCUCCAAGGCUAAAUACUCCUGACUGACCGAUAGUGAACCAGUACCGUGAGGGAAAGGCGAAAAGAACCCCUGUGAGGGGAGUGAAAUAGAACCUGAAACCGUGUACGUACAAGCAGUAGGAGCACCUUCGUGGUGUGACUGCGUACCUUUUGUAUAAUGGGUCAGCGACUUAUAUUCAGUGGCAAGGUUAACCGUAUAGGGGAGCCGUAGCGAAAGCGAGUCUUAACUGGGCGCUCAGUCUCUGGAUAUAGACCCGAAACCGGGUGAUCUAGCCAUGGGCAGGUUGAAGGUUGAGUAACAUCAACUGGAGGACCAAACCAACUAAUGUUGAAAAAUUGGCGGAACACUUGUGGAUAGGGGUGAAAGGC
rnacentral:rRNA from 1 species